rnacentral:rRNA from 1 species
GAUGAACGCUGGCGGCGUGCCUAAUACAUGCAAGUCGAGCGAACGGACGAGAAGCUUGCUUCUCUGAUGUUAGCGGCGGACGGGUGAGUAACACGUGGAUAACCUACCUAUAAGACUGGGAUAACUUCGGGAAACCGGAGCUAAUACCGGAUAAUAUUUUGAACCGCAUGGUUCAAAAGUGAAAGACGGUCUUGCUGUCACUUAUAGAUGGAUCCGCGCUGCAUUAGCUAGUUGGUAAGGUAACGGCUUACCAAGGCAACGAUGCAUAGCCGACCUGAGAGGGUGAUCGGCCACACUGGAACUGAGACACGGUCCAGACUCCUACGGGAGGCAGCAGUAGGGAAUCUUCCGCAAUGGGCGAAAGCCUGACGGAGCAACGCCGCGUGAGUGAUGAAGGUCUUCGGAUCGUAAAACUCUGUUAUUAGGGAAGAACAUAUGUGUAAGUAACUGUGCACAUCUUGACGGUACCUAAUCAGAAAGCCACGGCUAACUACGUGCCAGCAGCCGCGGUAAUACGUAGGUGGCAAGCGUUAUCCGGAAUUUAUUGGGCGUAAGCGCGCGUAGGCGGUUUUUUAGUCUGAUGUGAAAGCCCACGGCUCAACCGUGGAGGGUCAUUGGAAACUGGAAAACUUGAGUGCAGAAGAGGAAAGUGGAAUUCCAUGUGUAGCGGUGAAAUGCGCAGAGAUAUGGAGGAACACCAGUGGCGAAGGCGACUUUCUGGUCUGUAACUGACGCUGAUGUGCGAAAGCGUGGGGAUCAAACAGGAUUAGAUACCCUGGUAGUCCACGCCGUAAACGAUGAGUGCUAAGUGUUAGGGGGUUUCCGCCCCUUAGUGCUGCAGCUAACGCAUUAAGCACUCCGCCUGGGGAGUACGACCGCAAGGUUGAAACUCAAAGGAAUUGACGGGGACCCGCACAAGCGGUGGAGCAUGUGGUUUAAUUCGAAGCAACGCGAAGAACCUUACCAAAUCUUGACAUCCUUUGACAACUCUAGAGAUAGAGCUUUCCCCUUCGGGGGACAAAGUGACAGGUGGUGCAUGGUUGUCGUCAGCUCGUGUCGUGAGAUGUUGGGUUAAGUCCCGCAACGAGCGCAACCCUUAAGCUUAGUUGCCAUCAUUAAGUUGGGCACUCUAAGUUGACUGCCGGUGACAAACCGGAGGAAGGUGGGGAUGACGUCAAAUCAUCAUGCCCCUUAUGAUUUGGGCUACACACGUGCUACAAUGGACAAUACAAAGGGCAGCGAAACCGUGAGGUCAAGCAAAUCCCAUAAAGUUGUUCUCAGUUCGGAUUGUAGUCUGCAACUCGACUACAUGAAGCUGGAAUCGCUAGUAAUCGUAGAUCAGCAUGCUACGGUGAAUACGUUCCCGGGUCU